UUGAAUCUCAAAUAUAAAAAAAAUAAUUAAAAUUUAGGCCUCCAAUUUAUCCUAUUUUUGGUUUCACCAGGUUAUUUUUGUAUGUGCAACUAUGUGUGCAAAGAUAAAUAUUUGGUUGCUACAAGUUACAUUAUGAUAUUCUUAGCGAUAACGGAACAAGACUGAUUAGCGUAUCUUUUGGUGUUUGUGUUUGCGAAAAUUUAGUACGUCUACUCAUAUUGGUGUCCUUUGGCCUGUUUUUUCCCCUGCAAAAUUGAAGCUUCCUUGAAACUGCUUGUAACAUGAAGGUUCUCAAUUGGCACUACUCUUUGUUUCUGUAGUGUCUCGUGCUAUUAUAUUCAUCCAUAUGCUUAUGUUCUUACCACUACCAGAGGCGACCUUCUUUAGGGCGAGAGUGUAAGCCUAAUCUAAUAAUGCUAUUAGGUGCUCUGGUAUGUGUUAUUUGUUCAGUCUGCUUCUACAUUUUUCUGUUGGUUUGUUAUAACAUCAAAGAAAGGGGGAUGUGCACCAAUAUCUAUUAUAGAGGGAUUGAGCCAUUACAAAUGAUAUGCUAUCUAGCUUUAUUUGUUUUUUAAGGAGGCGAUUUAUGUAAUGAUGUUAUGAAUCUUGACAUAUCAAACUAAUUGAAUCUCACAAUUUAUGAUUUGUUAUGUUACUUGCUCUUUUAAAAUUAA
rnacentral:lncRNA from 1 species